GACGAACGCUGGCGGCGUGCUUAACACAUGCAAGUCGAACGGAAAGGCCCUGCUUUUGUGGGGUGCUCGAGUGGCGAACGGGUGAGUAACACGUGAGUAACCUGCCCUUGACUUUGGGAUAACUUCAGGAAACAGGGGCUAAUACCGGAUAGGAGCUCCUGCUGCAUGGUGGGGGUUGGAAAGUUUCGGCGGUUGGGGAUGGACUCGCGGCUUAUCAGCUUGUUGGUGGGGUAGUGGCUUACCAAGGCUUUGACGGGUAGCCGGCCUGAGAGGGUGACCGGCCACAUUGGGACUGAGAUACGGCCCAGACUCCUACGGGAGGCAGCAGUGGGGAAUAUUGCACAAUGGGCGGAAGCCUGAUGCAGCAACGCCGCGUGCGGGAUGACGGCCUUCGGGUUGUAAACCGCUUUCGCCUGUGACGAAGCGUGAGUGACGGUAAUGGGUAAAGAAGCACCGGCUAACUACGUG
rnacentral:rRNA from 1 species